rnacentral:rRNA from 1 species
GGGGGACCCCCCGGAGUGGGGCCUGCGGCUUUUUUUUACUCACCACGGGAAAAAACACCCCGCGCGGACACACUAAGGAGAGACACAUAGAGAGCUCUUUUUCUAUUCUGUGGGUGGGGGGGCGUGGGCGUUCUUAUUUGGUGGAGAGAUUUUUCUGGUGAAUUCUCAUAACAAAAAAGACUCUCUCCUGCUAAAUAGUUCUCCCAUCGCCUUCUGUCGGCGCAACUUCUUAUAGGGACAAGUGGCGUUUAGCCACACCAGAUUGAACAAUAACAAGUCUGUGAUGCCCUUACAUGUUCGGGGCCGCGCCCGCGCUCCCCUGAAAGAAUCAUCAUGUGUUCGUCCUAAUCCCCGCGGACCCGGUAACGCGUUGAACCUCCUUCCUGCUAGGGAUUGGAGAUUGGGCUUUUUCUCUAUGGACCAGGAAUCACCAAUACCCGCUAGUCAUAAGCUCUCGUCGAGUACGUACUUGCUCCCUGAACACACCACACGUCGCUACUACCUACUACAUAGUGUAUU